rnacentral:misc_RNA from 1 species
CAUUUCACUUGUCAAGCCCUCUUCGCAAACUUGUACAAUCAUUUGUAACGAUUCGUUAAAAUGCCUCCUACAUACCUACCGCUUCGUUGGGAGAGUACUGGAGAUCAAUGGUGGUAUGCUUCACCAAUUGAUUGGGCAGCUGCAAAUGGUCACUAUGAUUUGGUGCGUGAGCUUCUUCGCUUAGAUGGGAAUCACCUUAUCAAGCUCACUUCACUACGUAGGAUCAGAAGGCUCGAGUCUGUUUGGGAUGACGAAGAGCAAUUUGAUGAUGUUGCUAGAUGUCGG